rnacentral:rRNA from 1 species
UUAAGCGACUAAGCGUACACGGUGGAUGCCCUGGCAGUCAGAGGCGAUGAAGGACGUGCUAAUCUGCGAUAAGCGUCGGUAAGGUGAUAUGAACCGUUAUAACCGGCGAUUUCCGAAUGGGGAAACCCAGUGUGUUUCGACACACUAUCAUUAACUGAAUCCAUAGGUUAAUGAGGCGAACCGGGGGAACUGAAACAUCUAAGUACCCCGAGGAAAAGAAAUCAACCGAGAUUCCCCCAGUAGCGGCGAGCGAACGGGGAGCAGCCCAGAGCCUGAAUCAGUGUGUGUGUUAGUGGAAGCGUCUGGAAAGGCGCGCGAUACAGGGUGACAGCCCCGUACACAAAAAUGCACAUGCUGUGAGCUCGAUGAGUAGGGCGGGACACGUGGUAUCCUGUCUGAAUAUGGGGGGACCAUCCUCCAAGGCUAAAUACUCCUGACUGACCGAUAGUGAACCAGUACCGUGAGGGAAAGGCGAAAAGAACCCCGGCGAGGGGAGUGAAAAAGAACCUGAAACCGUGUACGUACAAGCAGUGGGAGCCUCUUUAUGGGGUGACUGCGUACCUUUUGUAUAAUGGGUCAGCGACUUAUAUUCUGUAGCAAGGUUAACCGAAUAGGGGAGCCGAAGGGAAACCGAGUCUUAACUGGGCGUUAAGUUGCAGGGUAUAGACCCGAAACCCGGUGAUCUAGCCAUGGGCAGGUUGAAGGUUGGGUAACACUAACUGGAGGACCGAACCGACUAAUGUUGAAAAAUUAGCGGAUGACUUGUGGCUGGGGGUGAAAGGCCAAUCAAACCGGGAGAUAGCUGGUUCUCCCCGAAAGCUAUUUAGGUAGCGCCUCGUGAAUUCAUCUCCGGGGGUAGAGCACUGUUUCGGCAAGGGGGUCAUCCCGACUUACCAACCCGAUGCAAACUGCGAAUACCGGAGAAUGUUAUCACGGGAGACACACGGCGGGUGCUAACGUCCGUCGUGAAGAGGGAAACAACCCAGACCGCCAGCUAAGGUCCCAAAGUCAUGGUUAAGUGGGAAACGAUGUGGGAAGGCCCAGACAGCCAGGAUGUUGGCUUAGAAGCAGCCAUCAUUUAAAGAAAGCGUAAUAGCUCACUGGUCGAGUCGGCCUGCGCGGAAGAUGUAACGGGGCUAAACCAUGCACCGAAGCUGCGGCAGCGACGCUUAUGCGUUGUUGGGUAGGGGAGCGUUCUGUAAGCCUGUGAAGGUGUGCUGUGAGGCAUGCUGGAGGUAUCAGAAGUGCGAAUGCUGACAUAAGUAACGAUAAAGCGGGUGAAAAGCCCGCUCGCCGGAAGACCAAGGGUUCCUGUCCAACGUUAAUCGGGGCAGGGUGAGUCGACCCCUAAGGCGAGGCCGAAAGGCGUAGUCGAUGGGAAACAGGUUAAUAUUCCUGUACUUGGUGUUACUGCGAAGGGGGGACGGAGAAGGCUAUGUUGGCCGGGCGACGGUUGUCCCGGUUUAAGCGUGUAGGCUGAUUUUCCAGGCAAAUCCGGAAAAUCAAGGCUGAGGCGUGAUGACGAGGCACUACGGUGCUGAAGCAACAAAUGCCCUGCUUCCAGGAAAAGCCUCUAAGCAUCAGGUAACAUCAAAUCGUACCCCAAACCGACACAGGUGGUCAGGUAGAGAAUACCAAGGCGCUUGAGAGAACUCGGGUGAAGGAACUAGGCAAAAUGGUGCCGUAACUUCGGGAGAAGGCACGCUGAUAUGUAGGUGAAGUCCCUCGCGGAUGGAGCUGAAAUCAGUCGAAGAUACCAGCUGGCUGCAACUGUUUAUUAAAAACACAGCACUGUGCAAACACGAAAGUGGACGUAUACGGUGUGACGCCUGCCCGGUGCCGGAAGGUUAAUUGAUGGGGUCAGCGCAAGCGAAGCUCUUGAUCGAAGCCCCGGUAAACGGCGGCCGUAACUAUAACGGUCCUAAGGUAGCGAAAUUCCUUGUCGGGUAAGUUCCGACCUGCACGAAUGGCGUAAUGAUGGCCAGGCUGUCUCCACCCGAGACUCAGUGAAAUUGAACUCGCUGUGAAGAUGCAGUGUACCCGCGGCAAGACGGAAAGACCCCGUGAACCUUUACUAUAGCUUGACACUGAACAUUGAGCCUUGAUGUGUAGGAUAGGUGGGAGGCUUAGAAGUGUGGACGCCAGUCUGCAUGGAGCCGGCCUUGAAAUACCACCCUUUAAUGUUUGAUGUUCUAACGUGGACCCGUAAUCCGGGUUGCGGACAGUGUCUGGUGGGUAGUUUGACUGGGGCGGUCUCCUCCUAAAGAGUAACGGAGGAGCACGAAGGUUGGCUAAUCCUGGUCGGACAUCAGGAGGUUAGUGCAAUGGCAUAAGCCAGCUUGACUGCGAGCGUGACGGCGCGAGCAGGUGCGAAAGCAGGUCAUAGUGAUCCGGUGGUUCUGAAUGGAAGGGCCAUCGCUCAACGGAUAAAAGGUACUCCGGGGAUAACAGGCUGAUACCGCCCAAGAGUUCAUAUCGACGGCGGUGUUUGGCACCUCGAUGUCGGCUCAUCACAUCCUGGGGCUGAAGUAGGUCCCAAGGGUAUGGCUGUUCGCCAUUUAAAGUGGUACGCGAGCUGGGUUUAGAACGUCGUGAGACAGUUCGGUCCCUAUCUGCCGUGGGCGCUGGAGAACUGAGGGGGGCUGCUCCUAGUACGAGAGGACCGGAGUGGACGCAUCACUGGUGUUCGGGUUGUCAUGCCAAUGGCACUGCCCGGUAGCUAAAUGCGGAAGAGAUAAGUGCU